rnacentral:tRNA from 1 species
GCUCGAAUAGUGUAGCCCGGUAAUCAUAUCAGACUCUCACUCUGAUGACGGGGGUUCGAAUCCCCCUUCGAGCA